ACUCUGGUUCUGCAGGUGAAAAGGGUGAGAAAGGAGAUCUUGGAGAAGUUGGUCCAGAAGGUUUACCUGGAAGAGAUGGUUUAAAGGGUGACCCUGGCGACAUGGGUCCAGCUGGUGCAAAAGGUGA